GACGUAGGGUGCGAGCGUUGUCCGGAAUCAUUGGGCGUAAAGAGCGUGUAGGCGGCCCGAUAAGUCCGCUGUGAAAGUCCAGGGCUCAACCCUGGAAUGCCGGUGGAUACUGUCGGGCUCGAAUCCGGAAGAGGUGAGUGGAAUUCCUGGUGUAGCGGUGAAAUGCGCAGAUAUCAGGAGGAACACCAAUGGCGAAGGCAGCUCACUGGGACGGUAUUGACGCUGAGACGCGAAAGCGUGGGGAGCAAACAGG
rnacentral:rRNA from 1 species